rnacentral:rRNA from 1 species
GAGUUUGAUCCUGGCUCAGGAUAACGCUGGCGGCGUGCCUAAUACAUGCAAGUCGAGCGAACAGAUAAGGAGCUUGCUCCUUUGAAGUUAGCGGCGGACGGGUGAGUAACACGUGGGUAACCUACCUAUAAGACUGGGAUAACUUCGGGAAACCGGAGCUAAUACCGGAUAAUAUUUAGAACCGCAUGGUUCUAAAGUGAAAGAUGGUUUUGCUAUCACUUAUAGAUGGACCCGCGCCGUAUUAGCUAGUUGGUAAGGUAACGGCUUACCAAGGCGACGAUACGUAGCUGACCUGAGAGGGUGAUCAGCCACACUGGAACUGAGACACGGUCCAGACUCCUACGGGAGGCAGCAGUAGGGAAUCUUCCGCAAUGGGCGAAAGCCUGACGGAGCAACGCCGCGUGAGUGAUGAAGGGUUUCGGCUCGUAAAACUCUGUUAUUAGGGAAGAACAAAUGUGUAAGUAACUGUGCACAUCUUGACGGUACCUAAUCAGAAAGCCACGGCUAACUAC